UAAAAAGCACAUGGAAAAGGAGUGAUGAUGAUAGUAUAGAAAUCUUUGUGUGAAUAUAGUGCAAAGGUUCUUCGUAUAAAUAAUAAAAUUUAAGAGCUUUUAAAAUUAGUGUCAUUAACAUUAAUCUUAAAAUUAUUCCUCGAAUCAAUAUUUAAAAUUUGUGUCAUUUGUGAAACUUUUUUAUCACUCUUAAUUAAUUUGUCCAAAUCAGUGACUUUUUUUCUUUUCGUCCCCAUCUGCCACCGCCCGACGCACCAUCAGUGACCGCCGGCGAGCCCACGCCGAUGAGGUCUUUCCUCCAUCUUCCCGCCGGAGAAAACCAACGGACACCGCCUCCCGCACCACCAUCUCCUUCACCGGCGAGAUUCGACCGCACCAUCACUGCGCCGCCCUUCCUUUUCCCUCUCUCCCGUCACCGGCGAUGAUGAACCAAGUCGGAGCUCCAAGCUUCGGCGAAGUCCAGAUCUGACCGGAGCCAGCAACCAACUCAACAACGAUGAAACUCCGGCGACAUUCACUGCUCGAACGAGUUUUUUUUUUCCUAUUGUUGCUUCAAGGUUAUUGUGGUUGACAGAUUUGUGACAGACUGAAAGCUUUGUUGGCAGAAAUGGCACGCAUGGCAAUCCUAUCACCAUUCUUGAUUAGCCCAACUCAGUGACUGGCAAGUCCGUGGACCUUGCAGUGAAAUGAUUUUCUUCGGGAAGGUUGUCAAAGAGGUUAAUAAGCAUGCAUCAGCUAAAGAGCUGGAUUUGACUUAACUGGCACCUUGACAUCAAACGAAACCACAUUCAAUAUCUCACUACCUUUUUAGACCUCUCUCUUCUUUGCUAGUUAUAUCUGAGAGACCGAUAGGAUUAUAAUUGCUAGCUAAAUCAACAAUAAAAUUUAUUAUUCUGGGUU